AUUUUUGAUCCAAAAAAAAAAUCUUUUUUAUUUUUAAUUUUUUAUUCCCGCCCCUUUUUUUUCGAUUCCCUCCCCAUCCCCAAUCUCAAACCUAGCGUCGUCGUCGGGGGAGGAGAAGCGUCGGAGGAGGAGAAGCAGCGUUGGAGCAGCAGCAGAUCUUCCGAUGUUGCCUGGCCUCCAAGUCCUACCCUGUCACUCCUUCUCGUUAAAAUCUACGGUCUAGAUUCUCCAAAGAAGAAGCAGUCGUCGCACACACCAUUAAGAAAAGUCUGAAGAAGAAAUCAUGGCCAAAGGUCCUGGUCUUUACACUGAAAUUGGCAAGAAAGCACGAGAUCUUCUCUACAAGGACUACCAGAGCGACCACAAGUUCACUGUCACAACCUAUUCUCCAACUGGAGUUGUGAGCU